rnacentral:rRNA from 1 species
AUUGAACGCUGGCGGCAGGCCUAACACAUGCAAGUCGAGCGGAUGAAGGGAGCUUGCUCCUGGAUUCAGCGGCGGACGGGUGAGUAAUGCCUAGGAAUCUGCCUGGUAGUGGGGAUAACGUCCGGAAACGGGCGCUAAUACCGCAUACGUCCUGAGGGAGAAAGUGGGGGAUCUUCGGACCUCACGCUAUCCGAUGAGCCUAGGUCGGAUUAGCUAGUUGGGAGGGUAAAGGCCUACCAAGGCGACGAUCCGUAACUGGUCUGAGAGGGUGAUCAGUCACAUGGGAACUGAGAAACGGUCCAGACUCCUAAGGGAGGCAGCAGUGGGGAAUAUUGGACACUGGGCGAAAGCCUGAUCCAGCCAUGCCGCGUGUGUGAAGAAGGUCUUCGGAUUGUAAAGCACUUUAAGUUGGGAGAAAGGGCAGUAAGUUAAUACCUUGCUGUUUUGACGUUACCAACAGAAUAAGCACCGGCUAACUUCGU